GGCACCUUGGCGGAGUGGCUACGCAGCGGUCUGCAAAACCGUUUACACCGGUUCGAAUCCGGUAGGUGCCUCCA
rnacentral:tRNA from 1 species